CCCUCAGGAUAGCUGGCAGUGGAUUUUUCAAACAGUCUUGUCAGGUAAAGCGAAUGAUUAGAGGAUCCGGGGGCGGAAUGCCCUCGGCCUAUUCUCAAACUUUAAAUGGGUAAGAACUCGGGGUUGCUUAAUUGAACCCUGCGGUUGAAUGACGGUCGCUAGUGGGCCACACCGGGUAAGCUGGUUUGGCGAUGCGGGAUGAUCCGAACGUCGAGUUAAAGUGCCAAAGUGCUCGCUCACCUAGAUCCCACAAAAGGUGUUGGUUCAUUUAGACAGCAGGACGGUGGCCAUGGAAGUCGGAAUCCGCUAAGGAGUGUGUAACAACUCACCUGCCGAAUGAACCGGCCCUGAAAAUGGAUGGCGCUCAAGCGGGGGACUUAUACGUCGACCAUCACCCCGUCCUUCCCCCCAUCGGCGGGGACGGGCGGUGAGGGGUGAUGAGUAGGAGGGCGCGGGGUUCGCGUCGAAGCGCCACGCGCAAGCGGGCGUGGAGCGCACUCCGGUGCAGAUCUUGGUGGUAGUAGCAAAUAUUCGAAAGAGAAUUACACUUCGAAGGCCGAAGCGGAGAAAGGUUCCGCGCGAACAUCAGUUGUGCGCGGGUUAGUCGAUCCUGAGAGAUAGGUUAACGUUCCGUUAUCAUUCCGGUCGCCUAUUCAUGCGCGACCGUGAUCGAAAGGGAAAGGGACUUAAAUUUCUCUACCUCGAUCCGUCCCGCAAGCGUGGCGACACUAUCCUGGCCGUAGGAGACGCCGUCGCUGGCCCGGGCGCGAGUUAUCGUCUCGCGUUAAAUACCAUAUCAUCGACCGUGCUCCCACGUAAUGUGUAUUCGAUUAUCUUACGGUGGCGAUGCCGCGUGCAAUGUGCGAAUCCUACGAACCGCAUCAAGCGGCGAAUAGCACCCGACCCCGUCUUCCCCCGUUGCCUCCUUCGGGAGGACUGCGGGGGUCGUUCGAUGGUCGGCGAUUCGCGGGUUAAAGAGUGCUUCACCUGUUCUUACGGGAACGGUGCCUACGAAGCAUCCCGAGCGCUCGCGACGGCCCUUGAAAAUCCUACGCGUCGCAAUCCAAUCCCUCCCCGCCGCUGCCUGUGCAAAUGGGCGGCGGUGGGGCGGUGUACCGGGACGGAUCCGAGUUCGUACUGAUCACCGCAUCAGGUCUCCGAGGUGAACAGCCUCUGGUCGAUAGGAUAACGCAGGUAAGGGAAGUCGGCAAAAUGGAUCCGUAACUUCGGGAUAAGGAUUGGCUCUGAAUGUGACGCCCGCAUCUCCCCCAUCCAGGGUCUCCAGCACUCCUCCGGGAGCGGCAGGGGAUCCGGGACGGAGGAUGCGGCAUGCCACAAAUUCGGAACUGGAGCGGACGAGGGGAAUCCGACUGUUUAAUUAAAACAAAGCAUCGCGACGUCGAGAGAUCGAUCUACCGCGAUGUGAUUUCUGCCCAGUGCCACGAAUGUCAAAGUGAAGAAAUUCGACCAAGCGCGGGUAAACGGCGGGAGUAACUAUGACUCUCUUAAGGUAGCCAAAUGCCUCGUCAUCUAACUAGUGACGCGCAUGAAUGGAUUAAUGAGAUUCCCACUGUCCCUACCUGCAGCCUAGCGAACCCACAGCCAAGGGAACGGGCUUGGAAAAAUCAGCGGGGAAAGAAGACCCUGUUGAGCUUGACUCUAGUCCGACGCUGCCUGGCGACUCGCAAGGUAUAGGAUAGGCGGGAGGGCGGUGGCCUAACUCGCCGCCGCUCGAAGUUGAAAUACCGCCACUUGCGACGUCGCCUCGCUCACGAUGCAUGACGCUCGAGGACGACCCGCCGGUGGACGGCCUUGAUUGGUGUGCUCCGCCGGGGGUCCGACUUCUAGAUAACCGAGCGAUCGGCGCCGGGUCUGUCCGCCAAAGGACCUUCCCGGCCGCGUCGUUCAAAAUGGGUGCCCGUCGGACAACGUCGGAUGGGGAGUUUGGCUGGGGCGGCACAUCUGUUAAACGAUAACACAGGUGUCCCAAGGUCAGCUCAGCGAGAACGGAAAUCUCGCGCAGAGCAGAAGGGCAAAAGCUGGACCUUGACCCGCGCUCCCAGUACGAGCGCGGUUCGCGAAAGCGAGGCCUACCGAUCCUUUAGCGGGCGGCCGGCGCACCCCCCUCCCUGCCUCCGGGUGCGGAGGGACGGUGUGCCGCCGCACGACCAGGAAAAUGGCCCUCCGCAAGGUGGGCUCAAUUGGUGCUAGAGGUGACAGAAAAGUUACCACAGGGAUAACUGGCUUGUGGCAGCCAAGCGUUCGUAGCGACGUUGCUUUUUGAUUCUUCGAUGUCGGCUCUUCCUAUCAUUGCGUCGCAGAAGGCGCCAAGUGUAGGAUUGUUCACCCACCAACAGGGAACGUGAGCUGGGUUUAGACCGUCGUGAGACAGGUUAGUUUUAUCCUACUGAUGACAGGGGAACGCACCACGGUGCACCAUUCGCGGGACAGCAAUCCGACUCAGUACGAGAGGAACCGUCGGUUCGGGCCUCUGGUUUACGGGACUGGUCGAUCGGCCAGCGUCCCGACGCUACCGCCCGCGGGAUUACGGCUGAACGCCUCUAAGCCGGAAUCCAGGCUGAGAUAUGUUUCGUUACGCGGACUUUGUUCUGAACGUCUCGGGGUUCAUUUGCAACGGGUACGAAGAACGGUCGUCGCCACUCCUGUGCGCGGCGCAUUUCCGUUGAAUCCAUCGCGGGGAACCGAUUCGGGUCCCCGCACGCAAUGCGCAACUGCCGCAAGUAACAUUGCUGCAGGAGCGGGAUCCCAGCAGCCGAAGGUUGUAUACGACUUCCACCACAAUUUGCGACGGGGGAUUGUAAGCACGAGAGCGGAUCCGUAUCUGCGAUCUGUUGAGAUUGCCCC
rnacentral:rRNA from 12 species